GAUGAAGAACGUAGCGAAAGCGCGAAACGUAAUGUGAAUUGCAGAAUUCAGUGAAUCAUCGAAUCUUUGAACGCACAUUGCGCCCGCCAGUAUUCUGGCGGGCAUGCCUGUUCGAGCGUCAUUACAACCCUCAGGCCCCCGGGCCUGGCGUUGGGGAUCGGCGGAGCCCCCCGUGGGCACACGCCGUCCCCCAAAUGCAGUGGCGGUCCCGCCGCAGCUUCCAUCGCGUAGUAGCUAACACCUCGCGACUGGAGAGCGGCGCGGCCACGCCGUAAAACACCCAACUCUUCUGAAGUUGACCUCGAAUCAGGUAGGAAUACCCGCUGAACUUAAGCAUAUCAAUAAGCGGAGGA
rnacentral:misc_RNA from 1 species